AAGUUCACAUGAGAACAUUAUCCAUCUACUCCAUCCUGAUGUGUCUCACUAUCUCAAUGAACCCUCAUGUUAAGCAUGUUUGAGCUGUUCAGUUUUUGCUAUGAGAAAAUAUCAGUCAGACUCACACGUUCAGCUGAGAUGAUCAAACACAGUGAGGUAUUCUUUCUUCACACUAAAGUGAGAUGACAAUUAUGACUAAAAAGGAAAACUGAGUACUAAAAACACAAGAUAGAAAGACUUGAAAUAUGACUAAGAUAAAACAUAAUUUUUCAGAAAAUUACUGAAUUAUUUUUUUAUUUAAAAGAAAUCAAAAUCUCUUUUUAGGAUUAACACCAGGCCUCCCUCAAAAUCUGAUUGGCCAACUGAAUAGCAAUCCCCAAAUCUUGGUUGGCUGUUUGCUGAAUGCUGCAGAGCGCUCUGCUCAUGGUGGAUUUAGACGGGAUAAGGCAGGGUUUUGUCCUGUGUGAUGGAGCUGGAUCUUAUUCUAUCUUCAUGCUGGGUCUUUGUAAAUAAUAAAACAAAGAGUAUGAUAAAGACAUACUCAUGUUAAAGCAUAUUGGGGUAAAACUUGUUGUAAAUGGAUGCAGAAACUUAAUUUAUUGAUUUGCAAAACCUUGCCAAAAUAAAAUAAGCAAACAUUACAGUUUUAAGAAAUCAAAGACAUGUUUGAAAUCACCAUAGUCUUGGUCCUAGCAGAGUCUGAACUUCACUCUUAAUUCAUUGUAACAGAUUGUUGUAAUGAUUAUCUGAACUCACACACCACACACACUGUGGAGACUUGCUUUACAAACACCUGGCAAACAGGUAGAGCAGAUGAGUGAGGUCUUGUAGGAGAUCUAUUCCAGGCCCAGCGGUCAGAGAUUAACCCUCAGCUUGGGAUAAUUACGUCAGAUCCCUUUAAUCCCAAACAAUUUAGCAGCAGCAGCAGUGAAGGUCCUUCAACUAGAGGUGCUCCUACAGAUGCAAUGCAUGCUGGUCUUUAGACUGUGUUCAUAUGAAUGAUAGAGAGUCAGGUGUGAGGCAUGGGAAUAAUGAUGGACAUUUUAGUCAUACUGGAGUCAAAGGUUACUCCAAAUCUGCUUCAGGAGUUUACUUUCUUCAGACUCUUCACAAUGUGAAUGAAAAUGUUGAAAUUAUGAGUCAUAUGACGACAAUAAGAGUGCCAUAGUAAUGAUAAAAAUGGUAACCAAGCAGUCUUAGUGAUCCUGACGUCAAUAAAAUCUCAAACCUCUCUGUUAUUGUAUUAUUUGUUCUCUGCUGUCCUCUUGUGGUUACUUGAUUUUUCUGUAGGUAAGUGUUUCAACCAGCAGAGAGCGCCUAAAUCCACUGAACAGUUGCCUAUCUCUGCUGAAGGAUAGUACGAACUGCAGAGGCUAAACACAGAGAUAAUAAUGCAGUAUUAAUCUGUAACUCUCAAAAUGAAAAUCAGCUGUAGAAACACAAAAAAGUCCAACAAAAAGAUCCAAAGAAAAGACUGACUAAGACUGACUAUUCAGUUUCUUUGUCUUUUUGUUGGCAAACUCAUACAUUUGAUUCAAGCUGCAAGCAGCACUGAAAGGUCCCUCGUACCUCCCCUCAUGUCUGGGUGUGAUGUAUAUCAGGGUGUGGAGAGGUUGCAGAGGAUGUUGCUACUGUGGCAUUUCAAUAUUAAAUACCUAAAUAAAUAAAUAAAUAAGGCAGAAGUUUUAUGUUUCAAUUACAAAAUAUAGUGUGAGAACACCUGCAGAGCUCUUACUAUUUUUUAUUCAAGUUCAGACUUGCAUAUUUUGCACCAGGGUCUAGGGUCAAUCAUGCCCAAAGAACUCCAUACUGCUCAGAUGAGAGAGGAUUUAAGGGAGAGGAAGAAAAGCAGAGGAGCAACCAGCAAGGAGAAUACCAACAUACACAUGCUCUUUAACAGUUGGGAUGUGAUGAGCUGGGAUAAAAAAGGUUUCAUGUGGAUACUGAUACCAAUAAGUCUCAUUUGUGUUUAAGUCAGGGGUCAGGAACCUUUUAUAUGGAAAAAGCCACAAGGAGGAGAAGGGGACUUUCACCCUUCUAAAAUAAGUCUCUCAGCAACUAUCAUCCCCUACGUCAGUGAUCAUUAUACAGAAGAGGAGAGAUUGUGAGCAUGCAGCCAAAGGUAGUGAGUCUAGGACAGAAACAGCAAUUUUUUUUUUUUUUUUUUUUAAACUAUUCUUGGUGAACUAGCGCUUUUCAGGUAUCUGUCUGGACAAAAUGAACAAGGCAGUUGCACUCUCUGGCUGUAGACCUCAUCGCUCUAGGGGUGGCUCCUUGCUGUUGCUCCUUGCUGUUGCUCCUGGUGUGGUUACUCCUUCCAACUCCUGCUGUCGUCUCUGCGUCUCAUUCCAAGCCUGCUACCUGGUAACCCCGAUCAAGUGUGUUGCGACCUGCACACAUGGGAUUCCUAUCAGAUGAUUAGAGGCUGCUUCAGGGGAGGUCGGAAAUAUCGCUACACCCCUCUGAAAACAUACUUGAUAAAAACACAGCAUGCAUAACAAGCAACAAAAC